rnacentral:rRNA from 1 species
GUCUACGACCAUACCACGUUGAAAGCACGACAUCUCGUCCGAUCUGUCAAGUUAAGCAACGUGGGCCUGGUUAGUACUUGGAUCGGAGACGG